CCUACGGGCGGCAGCAGUAGGGAAUAUUCGGCAAUGGGGGGAACCCUGACCGAGCAACGCCGCGUGAACGAAGAAGUUACUCGUAAUGUAAAGCUCUUUUAGCAGGGAAGAAAGAGAAAUUUCACGGUACCUGAUGAAUGACCCUCGGCUAACUCCGUGCCGGCACCCGCGGUAAUCGGUAGGGAUCGUUCGUUAUCCGCAAUUAUUGUGCGUAAGGGGUGCGUUGAUGGCAUAGUAAGUCUUUGGUAAAAAUGCGGGGCUAAACCCAGGAGGGCAACAGAUACUGCAAGGCUAGAGUUUGAGAGAGGCAAGCGGAACUACUGGUGUAGCGGUGAAAUGCGUAGAUAUAAGGAAGAACACCAGUGGCGAAGGCGGCUUGCUGGAUCGAUACUGAUAUUGAGGCACGAAAGCGUGGGGAGCAAACAGGAUUAGAUACCCCAGUAGUC
rnacentral:rRNA from 1 species